CUGCUCCACGGCAGAAAUAGGCAGGGUGGUGGUACCCGUGUGGACUCACAGAGGAUUAUGGUGGUAUAAUUAUCACAAGAGGUCCUACCACUAGUAAUUACGCAAAUUAUAAUUUUUGCGAGUUUGAUUUUUAUAAGGUACACGAUGUUAUUCCUUCACCGUGGAAGUCAAUCGUGAACAUUGGUUAAGUACGUACGUAUUUGGUACAUUGGAUAAAAUUGGGACCCGCCGCGCCGGCGGGAUUCGAACACCGGUGCAUCGCUAGAUACGAAUGCACCGGACGUCUUAUCUUUUAGGCCACGACGACUUCGAAUAUAAAGUUUAAUGUUUUCAUUGACGUUGUUGGUGACUGAUAUAUGUAUUACCAAUGAUGUUAUAGUAAAAAGAGGUAGAUAAGUUACUUGAGUUCGUAAAGUGGCGCCGUAAAACUGAGCUAAUUAGCGCACUCAAGCUUAGUCUCGUGAAAGCAUUGGUAACGUUGACUGUGUUUUUUGUUCCGCGAAAUUUCUUUAAAAUGACGUCCUGUGUUAUGCGACACUGUAGAAACUAUACAAGUAAGCCUCCCAAAAGUCUAGGGAUGACAUGUCAUGCGUUUCCGGCAAAUGAAUUAAGGUGUAACCAAUGGAUAAAUAUUGUACAUAGACAAAGACAUGAAGAGGAUUGGCGGCCAAAUAAUAAUGAACUAAAUGAAAAUAAAAAAAUAAAAUUAUA